UAGCUUCCCCUCAGGCUGGGAUUACAGGAUUCUGAGCAACCGAAGCCCUGCCGAUUGGGGAGUGUAAGGUUCUAGAGCUCGGCAGAGGGGCCUGGAGCCAUUAUGUAGGGCUUUCUGGAUAGGGGAAGAGGAAGAAGAGCAGGCAUUCCAGGUAGGGCAAAUAGCAUGAGCAAAGGCUUGGAGUCAGGCUUGGGGAGCAGAGAUUGGGGUGAACUCUGGUGGGGGCUGAGUCGAGGAGCUCCCACAGGCCCUGGCUCAAGAGCCUGUCUCUCUUCCUCUCUGGCACCUGCCAUGCCAGCUCUGUGCAGGGCAGGAGCCCAGAAAUGAUCAGACCCUGCCCCUGUCUGAGCUUCAGACUCCUGUACUCAGCUGCCCACUUAGCAUUUCCACUCGCAUGUUUAACAUCAGACUCUUCGUGUCCAUCCACACCUGGAUCAUCACACCCAACUCUACUCCCCCCGUCUCCCCCAUCUCAGGUCAUGUCAGCUCUGUCCUUCCAGCUGCUCAGGUUAAUACCCAGAAGUCACCUUGAUCCUCCCUCUCUCACCCCCCACAUCCAAGGUGCCAGCAAAUUUUCCUGACUCCACCUUCAAAACACACUCAGAAUCUACCUACUUCUCACCAUCUCCACUGCCACCAUCCUGGCCUGUGCCACCAUCAUCGCUUGCCUGAACUGUUACAGUAGGGUCCUCACUAGUCCCCCUGCUUCUGCCCUCACCCUCCUAGAGUCUGUCCCACUCACAGCAGCCGGAGGGAACUUUUGAGUCCAUGCCCCCCUCCACUCCCAGAUAUGCCCAAGUCACUGAGGGAAAAUAAUGCUGCCAGGAGAGGCAGAGACCAGCCCCAGCGGAAUCAGCAAAGGUUGUGUGGCCUAUGCAGGGUACAGGGAGGACCGGAGUGCUGAGGCUUGGAGACAAGCCUCAAGUGGGUGGGGGGAAGAGCUGAGACCCGCUCCGGCUGAGGCCCUGCAAACCGCACUGAAUUCCCCACUGCCCUCGUGGAGGACUCAUCCCCACCAGGGCUGUACCCACAUGCGGAGGCAAGCUAUGUGCUGGACCCGUGCACAUGUGCACAUGGGGCAUGCAUGGAGACACAUGCAUACCUGUGUUGCUGACACCAAUGUGUGUGUGCACACAUACAUGACUAGAGCUGGGGGUCCAGCUGUGGGGCUCUUUGGGACAUGCCCCAGCCAAUGCCUGCUCUGACCAGAGGGGGCAUCCGAGUGGUUCAAGUGGUUGAGUAUUUCGCACCCCCCCACCACCCCCAGUACAUGUGUAACUCCUUCCCCCUAUGUCCCCACAGCCUGCCCUCAGACAAGGACCCAAUGCCCAACCCCAGGCCAGCCAAGCCCUCGGCCCCUUCCUUGGCACUUGGCCCAACACCAGGAACUUCGCCCAGCUGGAGAGCUGCACCGAAGGCCUCAGACCUGCUCGGGGCCAAGGGGCCAGGGGCAGCCUUCCAGGGUCGGGACCUCCGAGGUGGGGCCCAUGCCUCCUCCUCUUCCUUGAACCCCAUGCCACCAUCACAGCUGCAGCUGCCCACAGUGCCCCUAGUCAUGGUGGCACCCUCCGGAGCACGGCUGGGUCCCUCACCCCACCUGCAGGCACUCCUCCAGGACAGGCCACACUUCAUGCACCAGCUCUCAACGGUGGAUGCCCAUGCCCGGACCCCCGUGCUGCAGGUGCGCCCACUGGACAGCCCAGCUAUGAUCAGCCUCCCACCGCCCACUGCUGCCACUGGGGUCUUCUCCCUCAAGGCCCGGCCCGGCCUGCCACCUGGGAUCAACAUGGCCAGCCUGGAGUGGGUGUCCAGGGAACCCACACUGCUCUGCACCUUCCCAAGCCCCAGUGCAUCCAGGAAAGACAGGUCAGCGGGCAGGGCUGGGAAGGACCCUUGCCCUGCCAUCCCCUCCCCUGACACCCUCUGUCCCCCCAGCACCCUUUCGACCACGCCCCAGGGCUCCUACUCAUUGCUGGCAAAUGGUGUCUGCAAGUGGCCUGGAUGCGAGAAGGUCUUCGAGGAGCCAGAGGACUUCCUCAAGCACUGCCAGGCGGACCAUCUCCUGGAUGAGAAGGGCAGGGCACAGUGUCUCCUCCAGAGGGAGGUGGUGCAGUCUCUGGAGCAGCAGCUGGUGCUGGAGAAGGAGAAGCUGGGUGCUAUGCAGGCCCACCUGGCCGGGAAGAUGGCCCUGACCAAGGCUCCGUCUGCGGCAUCAUCUGACAAGGGCUCCUGUCGCAUCGUGGCCACUGGCACCCCGGGCACCACCGUCCCAGCCUGGCCCGGCCCCCAGGAGGCCCCCGAUGGCCUGUUUGCUGUGCGGAGGCACCUCUGGGGCAGCCAUGGAAACAGCACCUUCCCGGAGUUCUUCCACAACAUGGACUACUUCAAGUUCCACAACAUGCGGCCCCCUUUCACCUAUGCCACCCUCAUCCGCUGGGCCAUCUUGGAGGCUCCUGAGAAGCAGCGGACACUCAACGAGAUCUAUCACUGGUUCACACGCAUGUUUGCCUUCUUCAGAAACCACCCUGCCACCUGGAAGAACGCCAUCCGCCACAACCUGAGCCUGCACAAGUGCUUCGUGCGGGUGGAGAGUGAGAAGGGGGCUGUGUGGACCGUGGAUGAGUUCGAGUUCCGCAAGAAGAGAAGCCAGAGGCCCAGCAGGUGUUCCAACCCCACACCUGGCCCCUGACCUCAAAACCAAGGAAAGAAGGAAGGACGGACAGGGGCCAAAACGGGGGGGUGGAAGUGGCCGGGGCAGGGGUGAUAGGCCCUGGACAUGCCCGCAGGGACCAAGAAGUGAGGUGUGCACUGUCUGGCCUGCCGGGGACCCUGCUCCCCAGCUGACCACCCUCCUGGAUCAUAUGCUCUGCACCAAGGCUGCUCAGAGGGGCCCCAGCCCUGCACCCCCGGUCCAGCCCCCUGCAAUGGGCUUUCCAGCCAAAGUGAGCUUUCACAACCAACCACACACACAGCCUGCCUCAGUCACUCUCACCGAUGACCUUGGGAGUGGAAAAGACACACAGAUGGUCACAAUCCUGUCCCUUGGACUCAAUACAAACCCCAAAACACAAAGAGCCUGCCUCAGUACACUCAGAUGACCUCAAAUCUGCAUAGUCACACAGACAAUCACACCCAAGCAUAGUCUUGUCAACCCACAUAGCCCAAAGCACACACCCCCAGCCAGCCUCUGGGCCCACAGGUGCAGUGUCACACGGGCCGUGCCCAGACACCUGCACAGAAGCAGCCUCAGUACCUUCAGGAUCUCAGGUCCCAGAAAGCCACACAGACACAUACCAGUCACGCACAGUCUCACACAGCUCCCAACACAUACUGUCAGUCACACAGCCCUUUAGAACUCACCCGCGGAUCUUGCACAUACGCAUACCCACACAGUGCCCCAGUGCAUCUCCUGAGCCCCGGACGGACAUGCAUGGCCACACACACUGACUCGCCAAAACGCACCUAGGCCCAAACUCCACCCACA